GAUGAACGCUGGCGGCGUGCCUAAUACAUGCAAGUCGAGCGAACAGACGAGGAGCUUGCUCCUCUGACGUUAGCGGCGGACGGGUGAGUAACACGUGGAUAACCUACCUAUAAGACUGGGAUAACUUCGGGAAACCGGAGCUAAUACCGGCUCAUAUAUUGAACCGCAUGGUUCAAUAGUGAAAGACGGUUUUGCUGUCACUUAUAGAUGGAUCCGCGCCGCAUUAGCUAGUUGGUAAGGUAACGGCUUACCAAGGCAACGAUGCGUAGCCGACCUGAGAGGGUGAUCGGCCACACUGGAACUGAGACACGGUCCAGACUCCUACGGGAGGCAGCAGUAGGGAAUCUUCCGCAAUGGGCGAAAGCCUGACGGAGCAACGCCGCGUGAGUGAUGAAGGUCUUCGGAUCGUAAAACUCUGUUAUUAGGGAAGAACAAAUGUGUAAGUAACUAUGCACGUCUUGACGGUACCUAAUCAGAAAGCCACGGCUAACUACGUG
rnacentral:rRNA from 1 species